CAUGCAGUCGAGCGGAUGAGGGAGCUUGCUCCUGGAUUCAGCGGCGGACGGGUGAGUAAUGCCUAGGAAUCUGCCUGGUAGUGGGGGAUAACGUUCCGAAAGGAACGCUAAUACCGCAUACGUCCUACGGGAGAAAGCAGGGGACCUUCGGGCCUUGCGCUAUCAGAUGAGCCUAGGUCGGAUUAGCUAGUUGGUGAGGUAAUGGCUCACCAAGGCGACGAUCCGUAACUGGUCUGAGAGGAUGAUCAGUCACACUGGAACUGAGACACGGUCCAGACUCCUACGGGAGGCAGCAGUGGGGAAUAUUGGACAAUGGGCGAAAGCCUGAUCCAGCCAUGCCGCGUGUGAAGAAGGUCUUCGGAUUGUAAAGCACUUUAAGUUGGGAGGAAGGGCUGUAGGCUAAUAUCCUGCGGUUUUGACGUUACCAACAGAAUAAGCACCGGCUAACUUCGUGCCAGCAGCCGCGGUAAUACGAAGGGUGCAAGCGUUAAUCGGAAUUACUGGGCGUAAAGCGCGCGUAGGUGGUUCGUUAAGUUGGAUGUGAAAGCCCCGGGCUCAACCUGGGAACUGCAUCCAAACUGGCGAGCUAGAGUACGGUAGAGGGUAGUGGAAUUUCCUGUGUAGCGGUGAAUGCGUAGAUAUAGGAGACACCAGUGGCGAGCGACUACUGGACUGAUACUGACACUGAGUGCGAAGCGUGGGGAGCAACAGGAUAGAUACCCUGUAGUCCACGCCGUAACGAUGUCACUAGCGU
rnacentral:rRNA from 1 species